rfam:Selaginella moellendorffii unplaced genomic scaffold SELMOscaffold_10, whole genome shotgun sequence.
AUCAGAGUGGCGCAGCGGAAGCGUAUUGGGCCCAUAACCCAAGGGUCGGAGGAUCGAAACCUCUCUCUGAUA